UCCCUACGGGGUGCAGCAGGCGCGAAAACUUUACAAUGCGGGAAACCGUGAUAAGGGAACUCUGAGUGCCCGUAAAAUCGGGCUGUCCAUCAGUUUAAAUAACUGGUGAAGAAAGGGCCGGGCAAGACCGGUGCCAGCCGCCGCGGUAAUACCGGCGGCUCGAGUGGUGGCCACUAUUACUGGGCUUAAAGCGUUCGUAGCUGGUUUGUUAAGUCUCUGGGGAAAUCUUCCGGCUUAACCGGAAGGCGUCUCAGGGAUACUGGCAGACUAGGGACCGGAAGAGGUGAGAGGUACUCCAGGGGUAGGAGUGAAAUCCUGUAAUCCUUGGGGGACCACCUGUGGCGAAGGCGUCUCACCAGAACGGCUCCGACAGUGAGGGACGAAAGCUGGGGGAGCAAACCGGAUUAGAUACCCGGGUAGUCCCAGCCGUAAACGAUGUGCAUUAGGUGUAUCGGUGACCACGAGUCACCGAGGUGCCGAAGAGAAAUCGUGAAAUGCACCGCCUGGGAAGUACGGUCGCAAGGCUGAAACUUAAAGGAAUUGGCGGGGGAGCACCACAACAGGUGGAGCCUGCGGUUUAAUCGGACUCAACGCCGGGAAACUCACCAGAUAAGACAGCUGAAUGAUAGUCGGGCUGAAGACUCUACUUGACUAGCUGAGAGGAAGUGCAUGGCCA
rnacentral:rRNA from 1 species